UAAUCUCUCAACUUUGGCCUUUGGUUUCUUCUUAACCCAAGGCCUGGAGUUUGGAUGGUGGAGGUGUGCUGGCUGCCCCUGUGGAGGUCAGCUCCUCUGAAAAGAAUCAGCAAAAGGGAAAUGCACCUGUUCCUGCAUCUUGUGCUUCUGGCAUUGAUAAUUGUCUAUGCCUGUUGUGGCUCGGGAUGCCUUUUGGAUCGGGUGAGCAUUUUUGCUUACAGUUUGUCCUUCGGACAUUUUUGAC
rnacentral:misc_RNA from 1 species